CCUACGGGUGGCAGCAGUGAGGAAUAUUGGUCAAUGGACGAGAGUCUGAACCAGCCAAGUAGCGUGAAGGAUGACUGCCCUAUGGGUUGUAAACUUCUUUUAUAUGGGAAUAAAAUGUUCCACGUGUGGGAUUUUGUAUGUACCAUAUGAAUAAGGAUCGGCUAACUCCGUGCCAGCAGCCGCGGUAAUACGGAGGAUCCGAGCGUUAUCCGGAUUUAUUGGGUUUAAAGGGAGCGUAGGUGGAUUGUUAAGUCAGCUGUGAAAGUUUGCGGCUCAACCGUAAAAUUGCAGUUGAAACUGGCAGUCUUGAGUACAGUAGAGGUGGGCGGAAUUCGUGGUGUAGCGGUGAAAUGCUUAGAUAUCACGAAGAACUCCGAUUGCGAAGGCAGUUCACUGGACUGCAACUGACACUGAGGCUCGAAAGUGUGGGUAUCAAACAGGAUUAGAUACCCUAGUAGUC
rnacentral:rRNA from 1 species